GUCUGGUGGCGAUAGCGAAGAGGUCACACCCGUUCCCAUACCGAACACGGAAGUUAAGCUCUUUUGCGCCGAUGGUAGUUGGGGGCUUCCCCCUGUUAGAGUAGGACGUUGCCGGGC
rnacentral:rRNA from 1 species